CCUGCUUCGGGAUAGGACUAAGAAUGCUAGUUGAGCGCUUCCAGCCAACACGGGAGCGCAGCGCACAGCUCAGUAACACGUGGCUAAUCUGCCCUUGGGACCGGAACACCCCCGGGAAACUGGGGCUAAUUCUCGAUAGGUGAAGAACUCUGGAAUGAGUCUCCGCUUAAAAGACGCUUACGUUAUGCUCGUAGGCGCCGCCCAAGGAUGAGGCCGCGACCGAUCAGGUUGUUGGUGAGGUAAUGGCUCACCAAGCCUUUUACCGGUGCGGGCCGUGAGAGCGGGAGCCCGGAGAUGGGCACUGAGACAAGGCCCCAGGCCCUACGGGGCGCAGCAGGCGCGAAAACUUCACAAUGCGCGAAAGCGUGAUGAGGGAACCCCAAGUGCCGCUGGCAUUUUGUCGGCGGCUUUUCGGGAGUGUAAGAAGCUCCCAGAAUAAGGGGUGGGCAAGUCUGGUGUCAGCCGCCGUGGUAAUACCAGCACCCCGAGUGGUCGGGACGAUUAUUGGGCCUAAAGCAUCCGUAGCCGGUUCUGCAAGUCUUCCGUUAAAUCCAGCCGCUCAACGGAUGGGCCGCGGAGGAUACUACAGGACUAGGAGGCGGGAGAGGCAAGCGGUACUCAGUGGGUAGGGGUAAAAUCCUUUGAUCCAUUGAAGACCACCAGUGGCGAAGGCGGCUUGCCAGAACGCGCUCGACGGUGAGGGAUGAAAGCUGGGGGAGCAAACCGGAUUAGAUACCCGGGUAGUCCCAGCUGUAAACGAUGCAGACUCGGUGAUGGGCUAGCCUUGUGCCAGCCCAGUGCCGCAGGGAAGCCGUUAAGUCUGCCGCCUGGGGAGUACGGUCGCAAGACUGAAACUUAAAGGAAUUGGCGGGGGAGCACCACAAGGGGUGAAGCUCG
rnacentral:rRNA from 1 species